rnacentral:rRNA from 1 species
AUUGAACGCUGGCGGCAGGCCUAACACAUGCAAGUCGAGCGGAUGAAGGGAGCUUGCUCCUGGAUUCAGCGGCGGACGGGUGUGUAAUGCCUAGGAAUCUGCCUGGUAGUGGGGGAUAACGUCCGGAAACGGGCGCUAAUACCGCAUACGUCCUGAGGGAGAAAGUGGGGGAUCUUCGGACCUCACGCUAUCAGAUGAGCCUAGGUCGGAUUAGCUAGUUGGUGGGGUAAAGGCCUACCAAGGCGACGAUCCGUAACUGGUCUGAGAGGAUGAUCAGUCACACUGGAACUGAGACACGGUCCAGACUCCUACGGGAGGCAGCAGUGGGGAAUAUUGGACAAUGGGCGAAAGCCUGAUCCAGCCAUGCCGCGUGUGUGAAGAAGGUCUUCGGAUUGUAAUGCACUUUAAGUUGGGAGGAAGGGCAGUAAGUUAAUACCUUGCUGUUUUGACGUUACCAACAGAAUAAGCACCGGCUAACUUCGUG